rnacentral:rRNA from 1 species
GAUCUGUAAUGCGAUGUGGGGACGGAGAAGGUUAGCUCAGCCGGGUGUUGGAUGUCCCGGUUCAAGCGUGUAGUCGUAUCCCUUAGGCAAAUCCGGGGGAAUGAGAUGAGGCGUGAUAACGAGUCUGCUUGCAGACGAAGUGAGUGAUACCCUGCUUCCAGGAAAAGCCACUAAGCUUCAGUUACAGAUUGACCGUACCGCAAACCGACACUGGUGCGCGAGAUGAGUAUUCUAAGGCGCUUGAGAGAACUCUGGAGAAGGAACUCGGCAAAUUGACACCGUAACUUCGGAAGAAGGUGUGCCUUUAGUAGGUGAUCCAUUUACUUGGUGAGCCCAAUGAGGCCGCAGAGAAUCGGUGGCUGCAACUGUUUAUUAAAAACACAGCACUCUGCAAAGACGAAAGUCGACGUAUAGGGUGUGACUCCUGCCCGGUGCUGGAAGAUUAAAUGAUGGGGUGCAAGCUCUUGACUGAAGUCCCAGUAAACGGCGGCCGUAACUAUAACGGUCCUAAGGUAGCGAAAUUCCUUGUCGGGUAAGUUCCGACCUGCACGAAUGGAGUAAUGAUGGCCACACUGUCUCCUCCAGAGACUCAGCGAAGUUGAAAUGUUUGUGAUGAUGCAAUCUCCCCGCGGAAAGACGGAAAGACCCCAUGAACCUUUACUGUAGCUUUACAUUGGACUUUGAACAGAUCUGUGUAGGAUAGGUGGGAGGCUUUGAAGUAGGGACGCUAGUUUCUAUGGAGCCAACGUUGAAAUACCACCCUGGUGUGUUUGAGGUUCUAACCUUGUCCCGUUAUCCGGGAUGGGGACAGUGUAUGGUGGGCAGUUUGACUGGGGCGGUCUCCUCCCAAAGUGUAACGGAGGAGUUCGAAGGUACGCUAAAUACGGUCGGAAAUCGUGUUGAUAGUGCAUUGGCAUAAGCGUGCUUGACUGCGAGACUGACAAGUCGAGCAGGUACGAAAGUAGGACAAAGUGAUCCGGUGGUUCUGUAUGGAAGGGCCAUCGCUCAACGGAUAAAAGGUACUCUGGGGAUAACAGGCUGAUACCGCCCAAGAGUUCAUAUCGACGGCGGUGUUUGGCACCUCGAUGUCGGCUCAUCUCAUCCUGGGGCUGUAGCCGGUCCCAAGGGUAUGGCUGUUUGCCAUUUAAAGAGGUACGCGAGCUGGGUUUAAAACGUCGUGAGACAGUUUGGUCCCUAUCUUCCGUGGGCGCUGCAAGAUUGAGAGAGCCUGCUCCUAGUACGAGAGGACCGGAGUGGACGCACCUCUGGUGUAUCGGUUGUCACGCCAGUGGCAUCGCCGAGUAGCUAAGUGCGGAAGAGAUAACCGCUGAAAGCAUCUAAGCGGGAAACUCGUCUCAAGAUGAGUCUUGCCGGGGCCUAGAGCCCCCUGAAGGGUCGUUCGAGACCAGGACGUUGAUAGGCUGGGUGUGGAAGCGCAGUAAUGCGUUAAGCUAACCAGUACUAAUUGCCCGUGAGGCUUGACCU